UACGGAGGGUGCGAGCGUUAUUCGGAAUCACUGGGCGUAAAGGGCGCGUAGGCGGCCUGGUAAGUCAGGGGUGAAAUCCCACGGCUCAACCGUGGAAUUGCCUUUGAAACUGCUGGGCUUGGAUCCUGGAGAGGGUGGCGGAAUUCCUGGUGUAGGGGUGAAAUCCGUAGAUAUCAGCAGGAACGCCGGUGGAGAAGUCGGUCUCCUGGGCCAAGACUGACGCUGAGGUGCGAAAGCGUGGGGAGCAAACAGG
rnacentral:rRNA from 1 species